rnacentral:lncRNA from 1 species
UUACCACAAAUUAGUGAAGCAGCAAAUCUGCCAAGAAGAAAAUUGAUUGAGAUCAAAUUUAGUCUACAUAAAAAGAGGAUCCAAUCCUGCCCCCAGAACCUCUCAGACACCAAGCAAUCAAACAAAACCUGUUCAAGCAUAAGUGUCAGGCGAAAUCAGUGUAGAGUAGAGAAGUAAAUUAAAGCAGAAACGGAAAUCAGGAAUAACCUGGUCAUUGUAAGCUUCUUUGUAAGCAUCUCUCUCAAAUCUGUCAAUUUCGAAAACCCUAGAGAGAAACGACGCUGGGAAGGAGAAAAGGAACGAAAGAAUUGGAGAACACGCAGGGAAGACGCCUCAGCCUCUUCUUCGAGUAUGGCAAAACAACACCCUUUUCAUGAAUAGAAACGACACAAAGAAAGAAGAAAACGAACGGAAGAAAAAACGUAAAAAAUAAGCGUUUCAGAUUGGAAUGGAAUGAAAGAGUGAAUAAGAUGCAAUUAAAAAUCAAAAUCCUUGUGAAUCAACGGCUGAGAAAUGAUUCAAAUUUAGAAUUUCAAACUUUGUUGAUUGAAUGAUUAAAAUUUGUCAUUAAUAAAAACA